rnacentral:rRNA from 1 species
UACGUAGGGUGCAAGCGUUGUCCGGAAUUAUUGGGCGUAAAGAGCUCGUAGGCGGUCUGUUGCGUCGGCUGUGAAAACCCGGGGCUCAACUCCGGGCCUGCAGCCGAUACGGGCAGACUAGAGUUCGGCAGGGGAGACUGGAAUUCCUGGUGUAGCGGUGAAAUGCGCAGAUAUCAGGAGGAACACCGAUGGCGAAGGCAGUGAUCUGGGCCAGUACUGACGCUGAGGAGCGAAAGCGUGGGGAGCGAACAGG